CCUACGGGAGGCAGCAGUGAGGAAUAUUGGUCAAUGGACGCAAGUCUGAACCAGCCAUGCCGCGUGAAGGAUGAAGGCCUUCUGGGUUGUAAACUUCUUUUACCUGGGAAGAAAACUACGAUUUCUAUCGUAGCCGACGGUACCAGAGGAAUAAGCACCGGCUAACUCCGUGCCAGCAGCCGCGGUAAUACGGAGGGUGCAAGCGUUAUCCGGAUUUACUGGGUUUAAAGGGUGUGUAGGCGGGCUUUUAAGUCAGUGGUGAAAUCUCCGGGCUCAACCUGGAAACUGCCAUUGAUACUAUUAGUCUUGAAUUUUGUUGAGGUAGGCGGAAUAAGUCAUGUAGCGGUGAAAUGCUUAGAUAUGACUUAGAACACCAAUUGCGAAGGCAGCUUGCUAAACAAAUAUUGACGCUGAGGCACGAAAGCGUGGGGAUCAAACAGGAUUAGAUACCCUGGUAGUCCACGCCCUAAACGAUGAUUACUCGACAUACGCGAUACACAGUGUGUGUCUGAGCGAAAGCAUUAAGUAAUCCACCUGGGAAGUACGACCGCAAGGUUGAAACUCAAAUGAAUUGACGG
rnacentral:rRNA from 1 species